CUGACUUUUUUUUCUUUCUUUUCUAUAGAAUAAUUAGUUUUUGUGUCCCGCUUUUCUUUGCAUAUUUUUAGCUUUACAAAAGUUCAGACUUGUUUUCUCGUUCUCUUUUCAUCAUAUUUCUCUCCACCGAUUCUUGUGCAAACUGACAAAGAAGAAUCCCUCUGAUGGCUUUCCUGGUUGUGAGCAGAAGGGAUUAAUUUCGAUUCCGGGGUGGUUGUGUUUCUGCUUUUGAAGCUUUUCAUCUUGCAGUUUCAUAAUUCUGAGACGUGGGUUUCCAGGUGGAUUACGGUCUGGAGUUUGUGUGGAUGACGAAAAGUCAGCUUAAGAAGUUGUAGUCGUUGCUUGUUGUUGGCUUUUUCCCAUGGAUAGGCUUUGCUGCUUCAAUUCUCCUACCCCUCAGGUAACAGACAUUAAUUGAUAAUCUUUAUUUCUAAUUUUGAUGGCUUAUCUUCUCAAAUCCCAAUUGUACUGGUGGAAACUAACACAAAAGGAUACUGAUUCUAUUAGAUCACCCUUAAUUCCUAUAUGAUGGCAUGGUGUUAAGUGCCUUUGAUUUAUAAGCUCUGGGAGAUUUCACUUGACUUGUGAAUGAAA
rnacentral:lncRNA from 1 species